rnacentral:pre_miRNA from 2 species
UACUUCGUUAAAAGGGUUGGUGAUUUAUGUAUAACUUUAAAUUCGAAGGCCAAAAUCUUCAAAUUUUAUUGUUCUUUUUCAAAACACAUAUCACAGCCAUUUUGACGAGUUUGG